CGGGUGAGUAACACGUGGAUAACCUACCUAUAAGACUGGGAUAACUUCGGGAAACCGGAGCUAAUACCGGAUAAUAUAUUGAACCGCAUGGUUCAAUAGUGAAAGACGGUUUUGCUGUCACUUAUAGAUGGAUCCGCGCCGCAUUAGCUAAUUGGUAAGGUAACGGCUUACCAAGGCAGCGAUGCGUAGCCGACCUGAGAGGGUGAUCGGCCACACUGGAACUGAGACACGGUCCAGACUCCUACGGGAGGCAGCAGGC
rnacentral:rRNA from 1 species